rnacentral:rRNA from 1 species
GACGAACGCUGGCGGCGUGCUUAACACAUGCAAGUCGAACGGAAAGGCCCUGCUUUUGUGGGGUGCUCGAGUGGCGAACGGGUGAGUAACACGUGAGUAACCUGCCCUUGACUUUGGGAUAACUUCAGGAAACUGGGGCUAAUACCGGAUAGGAGCUCCUGCUGCAUGGUGGGGGUUGGAAAGUUUCGGCGGUUGGGGAUGGACUCGCGGCUUAUCAGCUUGUUGGUGGGGUAGUGGCUUACCAAGGCUUUGACGGUUAGCCGGCCUGAGAGGGUGACCGGCCGCAUUGGGACUGAGAUACGGCCCAGACUCCUACGGGAGGCAGCAGUGGGGAAUAUUGCACAAUGGGCGGAAGCCUGAUGCAGCAACGCCGCGUGCGGGAUGACGGCCUUCGGGUUGUAAACCGCUUUCGCCUGUGACGAAGCGUGAGUGACGGUAAUGGGUAAAGAAGCACCGGCUAACUACGUG